GGGCGGCGAGGCGAGGCCUGCGGAGCGGAGGAAGACAAACAUAAAGAUGAAGUGCUUAAUUCAAGGUCACACAAUGUCGGGGAUGGACCUCCAGAUUUCCUUACUGGUGAGACGUGGUCUUGUAACACAGUGGUUAAGAAUGUGACUUUGGAGCCAGCCUGCUAGGGGCUGAAUUCUGACUCAGCCAUUUACUAACUGUGUGACCUUAGGUGGAGUCUCACUCUGUAGCCCAAGCUGGAGUGGCGUGAUCUCGACUCACUGCAACCUCCGCCUCCUGGGAUCAAGUGAUUCUCGUGCCUCAGCCUCCUGAGUAGCCGGGACUACAGGUCACAGAAUUUUCCACACUCCUUGACAGAGGUGCUUAACCCUUAUCCAUCAGCAUUCUCAGACAGCACCUCCGGUUAGGGACAGUAUCUGACCGUCCGACAUCCCUGCAGCCCCCAUGUGUCACACAGACUCAGCCUCAGGUAGAUGGUUUCCGUAGAUGGUGGCUUUCUUUGGACCCUUGACAUCAACCAGUUACUAUUUGGGGACCAGAUGUGCAGAGGUAAUGAAUACCAGGGAAUCAGGAAACCACUGGAUCAGUUCUUUGAGCCACAGAACAACACUCAUCCCAGCAGCUGGGAAGCUAUCUGCAAAAGUCCAUCUGCAGAAAGGGCUUCCUGGUCUUGCGUGUGGCUGGGCCAUUUCUCUGGAUGCAGGUUUUUCAUUAUACAGUCUUCUCAAAGAACCACCUGCUCU
rnacentral:lncRNA from 1 species